UACGAAGGGGGCUAGCGUUGCUCGGAAUUCCUGGGCGUAAAGGGCGCGUAGGCGGAUGUUUAAGUCAGAGGUGAAAGCCCAGGGCUCAACCUUGGAACUGCCUUUGAUACUGGGCAUCUUGAGUACGGGAGAGGUGAGUGGAACUCCGAGUGUAGAGGUGAAAUUCGUAGAUAUUCGGAAGAACACCAGUGGCGAAGGCGACUCACUGGCCCGUUACUGACGCUGAGGCGCGAAAGCGUGGGGAGCAAACAGG
rnacentral:rRNA from 1 species